CCUUGAAGGCGUCGUCUACAGAAAUCCCUCCUUCAAGUGAUAUUUUUGACCGCUAGAUGGGAGUACAAGUUAUCUAUUAAUUUGCUAAAUAAACGGACAACUAUCGAAAAAGAGUUGUCUAUUAAAAAGUGAGUCAAACGGCGUUCCGUAACCAACAAGGAGUUUUUUAUGGCAACACUGUCUACUUUGCUCCGCCUAUCGGGCAUUGAAAAGAGGUUAUAUAACGACUUUACCGUAAUAGUAAAGACCAUUUUGAUCCCGAUUGCCGUGCUUGUGAGUAUGCUCGUAGAAUUUUAAGACAUCUUCAGAUUGCCUUAUUUUCUUAAAUGUAAAGUUGUGUGUUAUUUCUUUUGAUUUCAAUUGUUUGAGAAUUCGAAAUCAACGCGCUAUAGAAAUUAUUAAUUACGUGCGUUUAUUUAUAUUUGUUUCACUUGCACAGUUAUUUAAAUUCUCGUUUUUUCAGAAACGUAAUAUUUAUUGUAUUGUUUUCUCUACAUAUAGUAGAAAAACAAGCUAUGGACCUCUUUUGUUAAUAAUUUUAAUUAAAAGAGUUGGAAAUACGUGAGUAAAUUGCAAUAACUAUGAAUAAAUAUGGAAAUCGGAAACAAUUGUUAAAACCUUAUUUGAUUAUUUUGAUUAGCAUGAUGUUUGUAGAUAUUCAGUUAGUAUUUGGGAAAUAUGUGGUACUGACAUGAAUUUUUGACCAUGAUGCUGGAUCUUAUGGAGAUUGGAUUUUAAUGGGUUUAGGUUGAAGUUGAACAUGGAGUUGCAUGUAUAGCCUGACAACUCAUUUGUUCUGGCAUGGUGGUCAAUUGCUUCACUGUCCAGUUCCUUGUCCAUUUGUUCUUUGGACCUCUUCCUCAAUUAGUUAUUCGAAGAUCCAGUGAUGUCGUUGUUGGUCUUCGCAUAUUGGUGGGUUUGGAAGACGGAGGUGGUGUUCGUUCUAUUUUUACGGUGGAUGUGGUUUUGUAGUUAACGAGAAGCAUAUUUGGGUUCAAGAGAUGUUCAAUUCUUCAUCCGGAAUAAUCAAACGCCAAGAUUAAGACGUCGUUCGGGUGUCUUUAUGUUAGUUGGUUCCGGUAUUAGUACGAUGUUGUGAUUUUGGUUGAUAGGGGAAGUAUGCUGAUGGAGCUUGGUGCCAAAGAAGAUAGUUAGAUGAGUCGGCAUCCGAAAUUUUCCAAUUAAAUUUUAUUGUGAUUUGUUUUUUUUUAUGAAAAAAAAGCUUAGUAAUGUAAUAGUUUUUUGUCUGUAUUUGUUGUAAUUUGUCAACUGUGGCUCUGACUUUUGUUAAAAUUGUGGUGGUGUGAAUUGUUGAAUAACGUGUGGACAUUAAGUUCCAUUAGAUUACGAUAAGUAUUGGUUUAUAUCCCAAUGAACAUGAAGAUGAUUUAUAUGCAAACUCGUCGGUGGAACCGUUAUUUUCCUCCCAUGUUCUAUUCGUCAAUUGUUGCUUUUUUUCAUGCAAAUUGUUUUAAACGCUGUCAUAUUAUUGAUGUUGUAUUAAUGAAUAAAAUAAAAUAAAAUUUCCCUUUA